GAGAGGUGGGGGGAGGGAGGGAGAGAGAGAUCAAGCCCUGCGCAUUCGAUUUUCCCGUAUUGACUGCGAUGUUUAGCGUAUAGAUUUUUCUAUUUAAAAAAUCUAUGUCGGCAAUGAUCUUGAGUGUAAGUGCGUGGUGCAGAUUGUGGCUUUAUAACGGACAGCGUAGCUACAAUGUAUUGGUGGCAAGAUGGGGGAAUGGGAGGAGGUGUAUACACGAGGAUGAAUCCUGGUGGUCUGCGUAUUGUGGGAUACACACUAAUUUUGCUCGGGUCCUCUCGGCAAAACUUGUUUCACAUACACUGUUUGCAGACAUGAGAGCUCGGGGGUUGUCAAUACAAGGCAGUGUUCCAGCUCCGAUUUUGAGCGAUUUUCCAUUCCCAGUCUCACCACACAUAGAGCUGAUUUGUCUGCCUUGCUUAGAAAUGUGCUCUCCCUUGAAAAUAUGGUAUAAAUAAUCACCUGCUUGUAAAACACGUUUAAAAUACUCCCCAAGCGCGUUCCUAUUGUGUAAGCCCAUUGAUUACCCGACCACCGCAAUUAUCGGUCAUUAGAAUGAGGCGUAAUCAAGAGAUCAAUACAGAGGAUAGCUCGCCUUAUAUAGGAUUAGUAAAAAAGGGAGAGGGGGUGUAGGUGUGGGGGAGUGGGGAGAGAAAGGGGGUGGAGGGAGAGUAGCGGCUGGUCCUCUCGCCUCAAUGUUGCAGGCAGCGAUGCCAGAGCGCUUUCAUACUGGUGGGAGUCGGACCAAGCGACCGGGGUUCCCAAAUCACGGGAACAUAGAGACAGACACACAGACGGAUGGCGGGAUAUAUCCAAAGAACAGACACCACGUAACGGGUACCGUGUUUACUCUUUUACUUUGUACACCCAGAGCGUGAUUUUAAAACAUCAGACUUAUUUAUUUAUUUAUUUCACUAUCGAUUGAUUGCGUUUAAUUAUACCGGCCUGUGACAAGGAGCGAGGGGGGAGGAGCGUACCCGACGAGGUCCUUGCGUAGCCUUACUUAUUAUUUGAUUAUUUAAAUGCAUUCAAAUACUAUUUAAUUAUAUAUUUAUGUUCUUUUAAAAUGCUUCUUUGUGUGUGUGUAUGCGUAAAUAGAUCCACAUUAAGACAGCUACAAACCAAAUAGUCGAACCAAAUACAAAAAACCUUUGAGUUGCUGCCUGUGUCUUUUGUAUCCUACCGGUACCUGAUUGCUUACGUGAUAUUGAAAAUGUUUUUUAGUGAGAGUAAAUAUUGAUUACACUUAGAUGUAUUUACAAGCAGAAACCAAAGGAAAAAACUGUUGAGACAGAUAAGGCCACUGUGACGUUUAGUCCACAGUCUGCACACCUGUCUCCAUUAAGAUAGCAGGAAGGUGGAUAGGAAUCAAAGUGAAUGUCAAACACAAAUAGACUAGACUAUACAUAGAAAACAAGUGAUAAGACGCCUGGUCACAAGUCGAGACUAUUUCAAUAAUAUCUGAGAAUUUCGCAAAGCUUUAAAGACGGGAGGGAUCGCUACCGUUCUUACUCUCUGAACUAAGUUACUCCGAUUGCUUUAAGUAGCCUUGACUUGUACUGAAAAUACAGUUGUAUGCCUACUAUUAUAACCGAGAGCCUAUAGCUAGAUCCUUUCUAUCCGUCUGUGUGUACGUCUAGCGUGUCAACGGUUGUCUUAAAAUACAAGGGACAGCUGCUGUUACUUAUAAAGGCACAAAACCAAAAAUGUAAAGACAGCAGGCUAACUACAGGCCUACAUACACAUAUAAACCAAAUAUUCAACGCCUCACAAGACACACCUCAAACACAGUUCACCCGGAAAGCAUUCAAGAGAGAAUAAGGAAGAACCGAAGACGAAACACAUCAAAACUCCCAACUACAACCCGACGACAGCGGAUCAUGUUUGUCCCCCUGCCGGUGCCGUUCGUCUUUCAGAGAACCGCGUCCGACUUCAGCGCUUGGCGUCUCAAGUCUCCGCUGGCCCUUCGUUCCAACUCUGAUAUCAGGAUGUCUAAACCAGUUGAAGACGAGAAGCCUGGGGCUGACUUCCCAGUUGAGAGCACAGACUCAGACGGAAGCAGUCCAGAAGCAAGUGAUCAGGUGAGCGAUCCAUUUAAAUGUUCCGCUGAAAAGCAUGUACGCUUGUGAUUGAGCUCCCACUCCUCCAACUGAGAUUUUUUUAAAUCAUUUUAUGUGAAGGAAUAUGUCUAGUUAAGGAAACCACUCUACUGACAGAUCAAACCUUUAUCUCACAAAAGUUUAUUUAUAGAUGUAGAACACAGCAUAAAAAUGCAGCUAGUAACAUUUGAUUUGAUCUAAUACAAUUGUAAUAUUAUCACUUACUACUGAACAAUAACUGUUAAGUUACAAAUAGGGAGUAUCACGGAGAUAAUUUCUGUCAAAAUUGUGAGGGACUGUUGUCUACAUUAGACAGAAGAUUAGCCAAUGAUCAGACCCGUAGCUACACACAAACUAUAAAAUAUAAUAAUGCUGACAUCUGCAGCUCUACAUUUAUUUUGUUAAAUAUAUUAAACAUUUAUUUUGUGAGGCAUAUGCAGGCUUGUUGUAUUUAUUUGUUUUUAAUUUCCCUCUCAUGGACAUAUUAGCAUAGGUCGUAAAUAAAUAAGCUGGGAUAUCUCACACUUUUUUGACAGAAAGUAUUUGUGCUUUAAAUUACCUAGAGAAAUGUGGUAUAUUUAUGCAUUUUGCCUAUCAGAAGACACUGACUGAGCAGUGAUAUUAAAUCUCAUAGUUCAGCUGUAUCCGUAAGUUAAAUGUGGUCCAGUCAGAUUUGCAGAGCAAGAGUUGCACAGCAGACUAUGAAGAGAUGUUUAAAAUCACUGAGCAGAGGGGUGUGGAGUGAUGACUGAACGUUUCAAGAAUGAAUGUGGGAACAGGUUUUUCCAAACCGCUAUGACCUUGUUCACAUGUCAGUGCUGCCGAAGAAGAGCAAAAGGAAACCGGGGGGGGUUAUCUGCUCAUAAACACAAUUUUUUUUUUUUUUUUAAUGCGACCCUAGGGCAACUCCAGAACCCCUUCCAAGGCGGUGAUUUGUAGACAGCCUUUUAGAUAUUUAGCCCUGAAUAAACCUUAGAAAUAAUUUUUAAUGUGUCUUGUUUAAAAAAAUAAAAAUAAAAAAGCCCUCUUUGUAAGUUCACUUCAAACAAAAUUAAUCUCUACUUUGUGCCCAGUGUUAUUGUGGCUCAUUGUAGACUUUCAGUGGUUACCAUAGAGACAUUGCGUUAUCAUUAUGUUUCGCCCUCACAGGCCCGGUCAAUGAAAACAAGCCCGUUCUGCCUGUCUCCCAACCUAAGCAACACCAAGGUAAGCAACACUCUACUGUAUGUGUGGGGAUGGUUUGGUGUGUGUUUUGGAGAGGGGAUUUUCAGUGUGAAAUGAGUACAGGGUUGUAUCGUAUGUUCAGUACACAUAAUUUAAAUGUGUUUUUGAGUAAUAAUUCAGUAAAUGUGUGUAUGUAUACAGUAUAUGCGUGUGUGUUGAUAUGUGUAUGAUUGUGUGUGUGUGUGUUCACAUAUAUGGAUAAUGUUUGUAAAGUUUACGAGUGUGUGUGUGUGUGUCUGCUAGAUGUGUGUAUUCCAGUUUACUUCAUGUCUGGUUUUAAAACAACCAGGGAAAACCUUAAACAAAAUACAUUUCAAACUAGAAGGCCACUCAGAGACCUUCACCAACAUCUCGUAAUGUUAAAGAAAGUUUUUAACAAAAUACAGAUCCGCUCCAAAAUGUAAGUUGCAUAAUCCCGCUAAGGUGAACCACAUAACCUCAUUGACAGAAGGAAUAAGAUCUCGUUAAAAUCCCUAAUAAGGCAUGUAUGCACCUGUGCUGGUGGGAACAUCUCUCUCUAUCAGUCUGGUUUGCACAACAGCAGAGUAAUAUGCAAAUCCUGCUUUGCGCUCCCGCAAUUCUAAGGAAUGUAUUACGUAAGACAUCAACACAGUCCCGACACGUGAGCACAAAUCAAACAAACAUGUAGUAGGCAGCAGCAUUCCACGUGGUGGAAAAAUGUGUGUCUGUAUUCCUCUAGAGAGGAACAGAGGUAGAGGAGCAUGGGUAUAUAAACAGAGUGAUUUGACACAGAGAGAGAGUGUCACGGAACGGACUGACACAGAGAUUGAGGUCCGGGCUCUGACGUGACAGAGAGAGAGACACAGAUAGAAAGACAGAAAGAAAAGGACACAACCAGCCUUAGGGGGGAAAAAACAGAAAGGACUUAAAGACUUAGAGAAUUAGACAGUGAGAGGACUGUGAGGAGAAAGCGAGAGCCAAAUGAGGGGGAAAGGGAGGAUGGAUGGAAACAAGGAGCUGACAGAUGUGUAUGUCAGCGGACUGAGCCAG